GUCUCUUCUUUGGAGUGUUUGGUGAGCCCUGAUACUUGGAAAGGGGGCCAAAGAUGGAUCCUUGUCACCCUGGGUGGACCUGCAUGCCUGUGGAGCAAGAGAAAGCAUCGUUUAUCUUCAGUGUUUUUUGCAUGCACUGAUGCACCCUGGCAAACUGAAGACAGAUGUUCUGAUUUGCCCAUCCUCCAGGUCAACUUUGCUUUGUACAGCCAGAGUAUUGUCAUAUCUAACAUACCUGAAUCUCCUGGAUCUCGCCUAAUUCUUGUCCAAGCAGCUCCAGUAUCUCUGCACAGAACUCCCCAGAGCUCUACACUACUUAUUUGUAUCUCUUACAAUGAAGAGUUAACACACAAAUUUCUCAUAAGACUAAUGUUACUGUGAGACUGCGAGCUGGCUGACUCUGUUUAAAAGAAAGAAACAAAUAGAACAGUAAAAGAUUUUAUACUGUCUUUACUACUUUAAUGUAGCAGGAAUGUUAAUGAAUAGGAAAACAUAUCUCAAAUUCAAAGGCACUUACUGCUACAAUAUGGUCAAUGCUAUUAUCAUUUGCAGUGCUUCUAUCUAGAAUGUGCUUGACAUGAUACAACAGGAGGGAUGUAAAUAUUUUCAAAACUCAUAAAACUCUGUCCCUGCAGUGUUCUGAGGAGGGCAAGGUGCCCUGCCACCAGGGUACAGGUAUCCUUUGAUGGAUGGAGUUAGGAACCUCAUCAGAGUCAGAAUAUGUACCAUGAAGCAGAGAUUUCAUCCCAGACUAGUACACCAAAGUCUGUCAGAAGUCAUACUGGAAGAAUGAUAGUUGUUUUUAGUAUGGUUUUUUUUCUUAUCUUAAUAGUAUUCUGAACCCAGUUGGUUAAGGGGAAAAUAAUUGCAUUUUCCUAAUAAGUCCAAGAUUUUGAUGUUGACACCUGUGGCUUCAGGAAGUUCCUCACGCUGAUUUCACCCUUGGAGGUUCCAGACUUUCUCUUUUAUUUCAAAAGGUACAUUUUUAAACCUGUUGUAAAGAACUUAAGGACAGUAGCAUGGAGCAAGAGCCUGAAGGAUGAAAAGCCCACAAAUGAGUUGAAUCCAUGAUCCUGAGAUUAAGGUCUGAUCUGGAAGCAAAUUAUCACAGCUGGGAAGACUUUUGUCUGCCAUAUUUAUGAAGGAGAAAGGAAAGAGAAACAUCUGAUCAGAAGACAGUCAUUCAAGUUGGCCAUUCCUGGUUGUAUCUAUUCUCCUUCCUUGAGCAAGUGUUGUACAGCCCACCUCAUUUGGCUCUUUAUUCCCUGAUGUCUGUUACCUCUGCUCCAGUAUAGAUAACCCAAACCACAGCAUUGCUCAACUAGGAACAGUCCUGAAGGAAGAGCUAGUCCAUGCAGAGGAGCUGUUCAUGCCUUCUGUUGGAUGUGUUCCCAGAUGAACUGAGCUGGAAGGCCUAAUUUAUCUGGAUUUUGAGGAAUCACACCCAUCAGAGGAAGUCAUAUUUUGAAACUGAAUUGUUAUGAUCACCCUUUCAGCUCUAGUAAGCAUUCCAGUAGAUAACUAAGUGAGUCAAGGACUUAAGAUAGACCACAGAAGAUGAUGGAAGUGCUGGGACUGAUGUUUUCUGCUCUGUGUGUGAGGAUCUGUAUCUUUGCAAGUGACUUUCAAAAAUGUUGAUUUGUUAGCUACUUGCCAUAUCAGUGGAAGAGGAAAAAACACACUGUAAUGACAAAGGUUUGUG